AUUGAACGCUGGCGGCAGGCCUAACACAUGCAAGUCAAGCGCGAAAAUUCCUUCGGGGAUGAGUAGAGCGGCGGACGGGUGAGUAAUGCGCAGAAAUCUGCCCAGUAGUGGGGGACAACCUGGUGAAAACCAGGCUAAUACCGCAUACGCCCUACGGGGGAAAGCAGGGGAUCUUCGGACCUUGCGCUAUUGGAUGAGUCUGCGUCGGAUUAGCUUGUUGGUGAGGUAAUGGCUCACCAAGGCGACGAUCCGUAGCUGGUCUGAGAGGAUGAUCAGCCACACUGGGACUGAGACACGGCCCAGACUCCUACGGGAGGCAGCAGUGGGGAAUAUUGGACAAUGGGCGAAAGCCUGAUCCAGCCAUGCCGCGUGUGUGAAGAAGGCUCUAGGGUUGUAAAGCACUUUCAGUGGGGAAGAAAGCUUGUUAGCUAAUAACUGACGAGUGUGACAUUACCCACAGAAGAAGCACCGGCUAACUCCGU
rnacentral:rRNA from 1 species